CUUGGUCAUGCUGCCUCAAACACACACAUCUGAAGCAAGCAUUGUUUCUUUCUUUCUUUCUUACUUUCUUUUUUGGUUUCUCUUCCCCACAUGAGAGAAGGAGGGAGAUUUAGUUACAGUACAAGUAAUGGAGAGUCCAUACUACGCGCCACCCCGGAUGGACGGAUCUCGACCGUCCUUAGGGUUCCCACUCGGGACAGCCCUCCUCUUGAUCGUCAUCUUCAGCUUGUGUGGAUUCUUUUCCUGUUGUUACCACUGGGACAAACUCCAAUCCCUCCGUCGAUCUUUCUCCGCCGAUACGGAUCUCGAGGCAGAUAACGGUGAUGGAUCACCCUCCAAACCUACAACUGCUUGCACUCGUUCAAAGCAAGACCAGAACCAAAGCUUGCCGGUGUUGAUGCCCGGAGAUCGGAUGCCAAAGUUCAUAGCGCUGCCGUGUCCUUGCGAGCCCCCACGGGCGGGAAAGAUCGUCCUAGAGCUGCAGAAGCCACCAAAGCCGCCGCCGCGCAUAGCCGUGCCUUUGUAUUAAGCAAAAAAAUUGACCAUUUUAAUGUGCCAUUGCUUGUGCUUUCACUGAGAAAUUUUUGGGUGCAAAUAGUGUAAAUGCUAUGCGGUACAUUUCUCUUCUCUCAUUGAUUGAGUGAGUGGAGAUUACAUUUAUGUAUUGGGUGAUGAGAAGAUAACAUGAAAGGCCACAGUAUUUGUGAUUGGUUGAAGGCGUCAUGUGACAUGCCACAUGAUAUCCUAUUUGCAUCCAAUAAUUUCUCGCUUUCACUUAUUGCUUUCAUAUUUUUGUAAGUCCAACUUUCAAGGGUUUGUUCAUUAUCUGCAACUUUGGUUUUUAGUACCAAUUUUAUUUUUUACA